rnacentral:lncRNA from 1 species
CUCACUCAGCUCCUGACACACUCACUCCCGUCCUUGCACACCCAGUUCCUCACACACUCACUACUUGCACACUCACUCCUGUCUUCGCACACCCAGCUCCUAUCUCAGUCACCCAGCUCCUCGCUCACUCACUCCUAGCACACCCAGCCCCUUGCACACUCACUCCUAGCCCACUCCCCCAGCUCCUAUCUCACUCACCCAGCUUCUCGCACACUCACUCACCUCCUGGCACACCCAGCUCCCCACACGCUCACCUAGCUCCUUGCACACCCAGCACCUAGCACACCCAGCUCCUUGCACACUCACUCAUCUCCUCACACACUCAGCUGCCAGCACACCCAACCCUUGCACACUCACGCAGCUCCUAGCACACACCCCCAACUCCUAGCACACCCAGCUCCUUGCACACUCACUCAUCUCCUCGCACACUCACCCAGCUCCUAUCUCACUCCCCCAGCUCCUAACCCACUCCCAACCCCUCGCACACCCACGGCAGCUCCUUGCACACUCAUUCAACACCUCACACACUCACCCAGCCCCUUGCACACUCACUCCUGUGUUCACACACCCAGCUCCUAUCUCAGUCUCUCCGCUCCUUGCACACUCACUCCUAGCACACCCAGCUCCUCGCACCCUCACUCCGAGCACACCCAGCUCCUUGCACACUCACCCAGCUCCUCCCACACACACUCAGCUCCUCGCACACUCACUCCUAGCACACCCAGCUCCUAUCUCACUCACCCAGCUCCUCGCACACUCACCCAGCACCUACCACACUCACUCACCUCCUGGCACACUCACUCCUAGCACUCCCAGCUCCGUGCACACUCACCCAGCUCCUUGCACACUCACCCAGCUCCUAAGACCCACCCAGCCCCUCGCACGCCCCAAGCGGCUCCUUGCACCACCCCAGCAGCCCCCCGCACGCCCCCGGCGGCUCCUUGCACACCCACGGCAGCUCCUUGCACACUCAUUCAACACCUCCCACACUCACUCACCUCCUCGCACACUCACCCCUAGCACUCCCAUCUCCUAUCUCACUCCCCCAGCUCCUAACCCACUCCCAACCCCUCGCACGCCCCCGGCGGCUCCUUG